GACGAACGCUGGCGGCGUGCCUAAUACAUGCAAGUCGAGCGAAGUUUUUCUGGUGCUUGCACUAGAAAAACUUAGCGGCGCACGGGUGAGUAACACGUAAAGAACCUGCCUCAUAGACUGGGACAACUAUUGGAAACGAUAGCUAAUACCGGAUAACAGCAUUAACUGCAUGGUUGAUGUUUGAAAGUUGGUUUUGCUAACACUAUGAGAUGGCUUUGCGGUGCAUUAGCUAGUUGGUGGGGUAAAGGCCUACCAAGGCGACGAUGCAUAGCCGACCUGAGAGGGUGAUCGGCCACACUGGGACUGAGACACGGCCCAGACUCCUACGGGAGGCAGCAGUAGGGAAUCUUCCGCAAUGGGCGAAAGCCUGACGGAGCAACGCCGCGUGAGUGAAGAAGGAUUUCGGUUCGUAAAGCUCUGUUGUUAGGGAAGAAUGAUUAUGUAGUAACUAUACAUAGUAGAGACGGUACCUAACCAGAAAGCCACGGCUAACUACGUG
rnacentral:rRNA from 1 species